GAUGAACGCUGGCGGCGUGCCUAAUACAUGCAAGUCGAGCGAACGGACGAGAAGCUUGCUUUUCUGAUGUUAGCGGCGGACGGGUGAGUAACACGUGGAUAACCUACCUAUAAGACUGGGAUAACUUCGGGAAACCGGAGCUAAUACCGGAUAAUAUUUUGAACCGCAUGGUUCAAUAGUGAAAGACGGUCUUGCUGUCACUUAUAGAUGGAUCCGCGCUGCAUUAGCUAGUUGGUAAGGUAACGGCUUACCAAGGCAACGAUGCAUAGCCGACCUGAGAGGGUGAUCGGCCACACUGGAACUGAGACACGGUCCAGACUCCUACGGGAGGCAGCAGUAGGGAAUCUUCCGCAAUGGGCGAAAGCCUGACGGAGCAACGCCGCGUGAGUGAUGAAGGUCUUCGGAUCGUAAAACUCUGUUAUUAGGGAAGAACAAAUGUGUAAGUAACUAUGCACAUCUUGACGGUACCUAAUCAGAAAGCCACGGCUAACUACGUG
rnacentral:rRNA from 1 species